rnacentral:rRNA from 1 species
UACGUAGGGGGCAAGCGUUGUCCGGAAUUAUUGGGCGUAAAGCGCGCGCAGGCGGCUUUGUAAGUCUGGUGUUUAAGCUCGGAGCUCAACUCCGAUUCGCACCGGAAACUGCAAGGCUUGAGUACAGAAGAGGAAAGUGGAAUUCCACGUGUAGCGGUGAAAUGCGUAGAUAUCGUAAGGAAGACCAGUGGCGAAGGCGGGUCUCUGGACAGUUCCUGACGCUGAGGCACGAAGGUCAGGGGAGCAAACGGG